AUCUCGCAAUGGUAAGCGUUAUGUGCUCACCAUGGUGGAGGUAACCACUGGGUGGCUCAAAACAUACGCAGUACCCCAUGCUACCACCCGAAACACCAUAUUAGGGCUGGAGAAGCAGGUCCUACGGCAGCAUGGCACUCCAGACACUGUGCCAGCAGUUCCACUCCUAUCCCUGACACCUGGGCAAGAAGCAGGAGCUCAUGGUGAGGAUGGUGUAGAUGUACCAAGUGGGCCACCCCGCAGUGAGGGGGUCGUCCUGAGGCCACGAGGCCUGGGUUCGCUGUUCCCCUAUGAGGGUUUGGAGAUGGACUCUCCAGGCCGGGACGUGGAGCUGCUGGCACCAUCAUCUGCUGGGGAUUUUCUUAAUGAGCCUCUCAUUGAUGUUCCUGUUCCACUGGAGGGAACAGAUGCUUCGGAGGAUGGGAUGGGUGACUUGGAGGAUGGCUGUACCACCAGCAGUGAUGCUGGUCUGCUUCUCCCCUCUGCUUACGCUCUGGGCUCCUGCCCUGACAUCGAGAUUGAUCCAUUGAUGGAGACAGAGGAGGACAGUCCCAAGAAGUCCUCCGUGCAGCGGCCCAGUAGCGUAGGGAAAGGACGAGUGCACCUUGAUGUGGGGGACACCCCGCUAGAGCUGCCUUUCCCCUCCACCGCUGUCAUGUUCCUUUUCUUGGCAGUUUUGCCAUUUCUUGGGUUAAUAAUAGUGUGUUAGGUUAUGGAGUUUUGUUCUCAGCUUAAGGAUUUGCAUGAAGUGGAUAUAAAUUGUUAAGAAGAUAGGGUUGCUGAUUGCUCAUAACUAUAUGUGUGUGUUUCUGUGUUUUAUCCCCCAUUUCUGUGGUGUUUUUUUUUUCUUCUUCUUCUUUUCUCUCAGUUUAUUGUGACAUACCUGUCUUAACAGAUAAGUCAGCAGGGAGUGGUGCCUCCAUUUCCAGAUACAAGCAUUAUCACCUUCUGCAGUGGUCUGCUCCUUCGAGCAGCACCCCUGAAAAAGACUGCUUGUCCUGUUUCUGAA
rnacentral:lncRNA from 1 species